rnacentral:rRNA from 1 species
UACGUAUGGUCCUAGCGUUGUCCGGAUUUACUGGGCGUAAAGCGCGUGUAGGUGGUUCUGUAAGUAGGGCGUGAAAGCUCCCGGCUCAACUGGGAGAGGCCGUUCUAAACUGCAGAGCUAGAGGAUGGUAGAGGGAGGUGGAAUUCCAGGUGUAGCGGUGGAAUGCGCAGAUAUCUGGAGGAACACCAGUGGCGAAAGCGGCCUCCUGGACCAUUCCUGACACUCAGACGCGAAAGCUAGGGUAGCAAACGGGAUUAGAUACCCUGUAGUCC